rnacentral:rRNA from 1 species
AGGAGCAGGCGCGCAAUUACCCACUCCUGACACAGGGAGGUAGUGACAAGGAAUAGCAAUGCAGGUGGCAAUUGCCAUUGUGCUAUUGGAAUGAGUGGACUUUAAAUCCCUUUUCGACUAUCGAUUGGAGGGCAAGUCUGGUGCCAGCAGCCGCGGUAAUUCCAGCUCCAGUAGCGUAUAUUAAAGUUGUUGCGGUUGAAAAGCUCGUAGUUGGGUUUCUGCGGAGGAAGCGCGGUCCGCACUUGGUGCGUGUAUCUGGUCUACCUACGCAUCUUCCAGUGAAACGCUACUGCGCUUUAUUGCGUGGCGCGGCAAUCUGGACUUUCACUUUGAGGAAAUUGGAGUGUUUACAGCGAGCGAUUGGUUUGAACAUAUUAGCAUGGAAUAAUAACCUAGAACCUUGGUUCUAUUUUGUUGGUUUCUAGACUAGGGUAAUGAUCAAUAGGGAUAAUUGGGGGCAUUUGUAUCAACACGUCAGAGGUGAAAUUCUUGGAUUGUGUUACGACGAACCACUGCGAAAGCAUUUGCCAAGGAUGUUUUCAUUGAUCAAGAACGAAAGUGCAGGGAUCGAAGACGAUUAGAUACCGUCGUAGUCUGCACCGUAAACUAUGCCGAUUAAAGAUUGGAGGUCGUUCUUAUUGUGGCUCCUUCAGUAAUUUAUGAGAAAUCAAAAUUCUUGGGUUCCGGGGGGAGUAUGGUCGCAAGGCUGAAACUUAAAGGAAUUGACGGAAGGGCACCACCAGGAGUGGAGCCUGCGGCUUAAUUUGACUCAACACGGGGAAACUCACCAGGUCCAGACAUAGCAAGGAUUGACAGAAUGACAGCUCUUUCUUGAUUCUGUGGGUGGUGGUGCAUGGCCGUUCUUAGUUGGUGGAGUGAUUUGUCUGGUUAAUUCCGUUAACGAACGAGAUCUUAUCCUGCUAAAUAGGAACGUGUGUCUUCGGACAUGCAGGUUGCUUCUUAGAGGGACUUUGCGAAUUGAAGCGUAGGGAAGGUUGAGGCAAUAACAGGUCUGUGAUGCCCUUAGAUGUUCUGGGCUGCACGCGCGCUACACUGAUGCGUUCAACGAGUAUGCCUUGUCCGGCAGGACUGGGGAAUCUUGUGAAAGCGCGUCGUGAUGGGGAUAGAACACUGUAAUUAUUGUUCUUCAACGAGGAAUUCCUAGUAAGCGCGAGUCAUCAGUUCGUGUUGAUUACGUCCCUGCCCUUUGUACACACCGCCCGUCGCUCCUACCGAUGGAGUGGUCCGGUGAAUAAUUCGGAUCGAGAUCUGAAGCUCACGCUUCAAUUUCGAAAAGUUUAGUAACCUAUCAUUAAGAAG